rnacentral:rRNA from 1 species
AGGGUUUGAUCAUGGCUCAGAUUGAACGCUGGCGGCAGGCCUAACACAUGCAAGUCGAGCGGUAGAGAGAAGCUUGCUUCUCUUGAGAGCGGCGGACGGGUGAGUAAUGCCUAGGAAUCUGCCUGGUAGUGGGGGAUAACGUUCGGAAACGGACGCUAAUACCGCAUACGUCCUACGGGAGAAAGCAGGGGACCUUCGGGCCUUGCGCUAUCAGAUGAGCCUAGGUCGGAUUAGCUAGUUGGUGAGGUAAUGGCUCACCAAGGCGACGAUCCGUAACUGGUCUGAGAGGAUGAUCAGUCACACUGGAACUGAGACACGGUCCAGACUCCUACGGGAGGCAGCAGUGGGGAAUAUUGGACAAUGGGCGAAAGCCUGAUCCAGCCAUGCCGCGUGUGUGAAGAAGGUCUUCGGAUUGUAAAGCACUUUAAGUUGGGAGGAAGGGUUGUAGAUUAAUACUCUGCAAUUUUGACGUUACCGACAGAAUAAGCACCGGCUAACUCUGUGCCAGCAGCCGCGGUAAUACAGAGGGUGCAAGCGUUAAUCGGAAUUACUGGGCGUAAAGCGCGCGUAGGUGGUUUGUUAAGUUGGAUGUGAAAUCCCCGGGCUCAACCUGGGAACUGCAUUCAAAACUGACUGACUAGAGUAUGGUAGAGGGUGGUGGAAUUUCCUGUGUAGCGGUGAAAUGCGUAGAUAUAGGAAGGAACACCAGUGGCGAAGGCGACCACCUGGACUAAUACUGACACUGAGGUGCGAAAGCGUGGGGAGCAAACAGGAUUAGAUACCCUGGUAGUCCACGCCGUACACGAUGUCAACUAGCCGUUGGAAGCCUUGAGCUUUUAGUGGCGCAGCUAACGCAUUAAGUUGACCGCCUGGGGAGUACGGCCGCAAGGUUAAAACUCAAAUGA